UACGUAGGGUGCGAGCGUUAAUCGGAAUUACUGGGCGUAAAGCGUGCGCAGGCUGUCUUGUAAGUCAGAUGUGAAAUCCCUGAGCUCAACUUAGGAACUGCGUUUGAAACUACAAGACUAGAAUAUGUCAGAGGGGGGUAGAAUUCCACGUGUAGCAGUGAAAUGCGUAGAGAUGUGGAGGAAUACCAAUGGCGAAGGCAGCCCCCUGGGAUAAUAUUGACGCUCAUGCACGAAAGCGUGGGGAGCAAACAGG
rnacentral:rRNA from 1 species